rnacentral:rRNA from 1 species
AUCUACAGGCUUAACACAUGCAAGUCGAGGGGCAGCAUGGUCUUAGCUUGCUAAGGCCGAUGGCGACCGGCGCACGGGUGAGUAACACGUAUCCAACCUGCCGUCUACUCUUGGACAGCCUUCUGAAAGGAAGAUUAAUACAAGAUGGCAUCAUGAGUCCGCAUGUUCACAUGAUUAAAGGUAUUCCGGUAGACGAUGGGGAUGCGUUCCAUUAGAUAGUAGGCGGGGUAACGGCCCACCUAGUCUUCGAUGGAUAGGGGUUCUGAGAGGAAGGUCCCCCACAUUGGAACUGAGACACGGUCCAAACUCCUACGGGAGGCAGCAGUGAGGAAUAUUGGUCAAUGGGCGAGAGCCUGAACCAGCCAAGUAGCGUGAAGGAUGACUGCCCUAUGGGUUGUAAACUUCUUUUAUAAAGGAAUAAAGUCGGGUAUGGAUACCCGUUUGCAUGUACUUUAUGAAUAAGGAUCGGCUAACUCCGUGCCAGCAGCCGCGGUAAUACGGAGGAUCCGAGCGUUAUCCGGAUUUAUUGGGUUUAAAGGGAGCGUAGAUGGAUGUUUAAGUCAGUUGUGAAAGUUUGCGGCUCAACCGUAAAAUUGCAGUUGAUACUGGAUAUCUUGAGUGCAGUUGAGGCAGGCGGAAUUCGUGGUGUAGCGGUGAAAUGCUUAGAUAUCACGAAGAACUCCGAUUGCGAAGGCAGCCUGCUAAGCUGCAACUGACAUUGAGGCUCGAAAGUGUGGGUAUCAAACAGGAUUAGAUACCCUGGUAGUCCACACGGUAAACGAUGAAUACUCGCUGUUUGCGAUAUACUGCAAGCGGCCAAGCGAAAGCGUUAAGUAUUCCACCUGGGGAGUACGCCGGCAACGGUGAAACUCAAAGGAAUUGACGGGGGCCCGCACAAGCGGAGGAGCAUGUGGUUUAAUUCGAUGAUACGCGAGGAACCUUACCCGGGCUUAAAUUGCAGAUGAAUUACGGUGAAAGCCGUAAGCCGCAAGGCAUCUGUGAAGGUGCUGCAUGGUUGUCGUCAGCUCGUGCCGUGAGGUGUCGGCUUAAGUGCCAUAACGAGCGCAACCCUUGUUGUCAGUUACUAACAGGUUCCGCUGAGGACUCUGACAAGACUGCCAUCGUAAGAUGUGAGGAAGGUGGGGAUGACGUCAAAUCAGCACGGCCCUUACGUCCGGGGCUACACACGUGUUACAAUGGGGGGUACAGAGGGCCGCUACCACGCGAGUGGAUGCCAAUCCCCAAAACCUCUCUCAGUUCGGACUGGAGUCUGCAACCCGACUCCACGAAGCUGGAUUCGCUAGUAAUCGCGCAUCAGCCACGGCGCGGUGAAUACGUUCCCGGGCCUUGUACACACCGCCCGUCAAGCCAUGGGAGCCGGGGGUACCUGAAGUGCGUAACCGAGAGGAGCGCCCUAGGGUAAAACUGGUGAC